AACACAUUCUAAUUGUUGUUGGGAUUUACACCUUCAGUUAGUCUGUUGUUGGGAAAUCAUUUUUUCAUUAUUAUUGGGUGAACCUCUUGAGUAGUUAAUGAUUGAAGGUUCAAUAAAUGAUUGGACAUUA